UACGGGGGGAGCAAGCGUUGUUCGGAUUUACUGGGCGUAAAGGGCGCGUAGGCGGCGCAACAAGUCACUUGUGAAAUCUCCGGGCUUAACCCGGAGCGGCCAAGUGAUACUGUCGUGCUAGAGUGCGGAAGGGGCUACUGGAAUUCCCGGUGUAGUGGUGAAAUGCGUAGAUAUCGGGAGGAACACCAGUGGCGAAGGCGGCUUCCUGGCCUGUUCUUGACGCUGAGGUGCGAAAGCUAGGGGAGCAAACGGG
rnacentral:rRNA from 1 species